AAAUGUAGGUCACUGCUUCAUCUGUUUUCAACUCCCCGGCCUUUUCUCUCUUGCACCCCAGAAAUUUACGCCCUGGGCUCUAGCCCAGGUUGCCCAAAGCUGGCUGGUGCUGAGAGUCACCUGGGAACUUUAAAAACACAUCAUCAGCCAGACCUCAUCUGCAAACAUCUGAACACUCGUUCCAGUCUGGGUGGUGAGACUCCUCAAAGGUUCUGUAGGUAAUGUCAGGCACCCGCUGUAAAACUGUGCAAUAGUCUGACAUGAUGUAACCCUUAGGGGAAACUGGCCCAACUGGAUGGCUCUGUAUUAUUUCCUACAAUUGUCUUAAAAAAAAAAAGAUUAAAAAGAAAGACUUUCAAUUGAGUAUGAUUCUGGUAUUGAAAGCUACCAAGGGUCUAAGUCUUUAUCUAAUUAUAGUUCACAACACUCUCCUUCUCUUGCUUAAAUUCUCUCGUUCCCGUCUAACUCAACUGCUUGGAACGCCUUCACAGAUCUUAGAAUCUCUAAUAAGUUUUCACUGGCUCCCUUCCCAUAAUUCUGGAUUCAUCAGAUCAAGUUGUUCCCAGGCCUCCUGCAGAGGGAAGAUCUAUUGAGACGAUUUCUAAAGCACUUCUCGUGCCUACUUUACAGCCUCUGUGAAGAGCCAGGAUCCCUCCCUCCGUUUUGUCUGCCCCGGGCCUCCUGUCUACCCAAUGAGCUUCUUAUCUAUCAGUAAGAACAACGUAGCUGGAUGGAAAAGACUGAGAAGCAAAGGCGAAGCAGACAAUCACAGUUUCAAGAGCUGCUGGCUUCUCUCUCCACCACCUCUCUGUGUCAGAAAGUUCAGGUGGGGAACUAGGGAGUGAGCCCUGGUGUGUGGCCCUGCUGCGGGGGCGGCCCCUACCUGCAUGCUCCCUUAAAUGCAGCCAGGUUCCCUAGGAGCUGAUGGAAAGGGCUAGAAAAAGUAAGGCAUGUGCAGAAGGGACUCUGUCCCAGGCUUUCUCUCCCUUCAGGUCACACGUCCUGUCUUGUUGAAUCUGAGGGUUGGGAGAAGAACAAAGGAAAGCGUUCAUCUAAGUUAGUAACCUGGGGUUGGACCGGUUCCUUUACCAGGAAGGCAUUCAUCAUGUGUGGACUGUGGAUUCUAUUUAUAGAAAAAGCAGGAUUUUUCCCUGUUCAUGAGUUAUAAACCAGUCUAGAGUUUGCAUCCAUCAACUUGACAAAAUGCCUUUCUCAUCAUGGAUCAAAGCUAUUUUCAUCAUUUUCUUUGUAUUUUUUCUUUAUUCUGGUGAGUAAACUUUCCUGUCCUGAAGUGAACACUUCACAGAUCUUAGAACAUUCAGAAAACAACUGCUAUAAAGCAAUUUCAUUGGGUUUGUAAUACUUAAACUGAUAUCGUGAAACUGAGCUUUUGACAAAUUCUUAUUUUAAACUGCACCAGUGGAUGGCUUUUCUGCCUCUCCCACAUUGGACGAAUGGAGACAGAGGUGGGUUAGAAUGGGCAGCAGAUGUUAUGGUUUUGUUUAUAACUCAACAACGUUCAAUUCUUCCUUUCGGGGGCUCUGUUCCAUUGCUGUUAUUGCUGUUAAAUGCAGAGUGAGGAUGGGUAAUUCCUUCUAGACAUGGUGUUUCCUGACGGUCAUGUGUGCCAGCUCUGAUUCCUCUAUUUCAAGGCCCUGCAUAAGGAGGGAAUUCAUUGUUCACCUUGACACCAAGCUAUCUUACUUUAAGCUUAUUGUGAUUCAUAAAUUUCAGAAUAAGAUAAUCUGUAAGGCUACCUUGGAUAGAGGCAAACAACUGGUUAAUGAAGUACCGAUUAAUUUCUUCAUAAUUAAGUGACUUGCAAAGCACUGGUCUCUGAUUAGGAUCUUAAUAAAGGUGAAAAGAGAAUGCUAUCUUUAAAGCAAGGUACAGGGAUUAACUGAAAAAUAAUACAUAGUAUUUGUUCUCAGUGUAAGAUUAAUUUGGGAAUAAAACUGUUUUUUGAUUUUUAUUUUGUGAAUUUAGUGUUUCACUGCUGCCAUAAAAGCUCAUCACAUUAUUAUAAUUAUUUUAGUGCAGGCAAAUCUCAUAUAUUUGUGCUACAAAGAGAUAUAGUCACUACCAGGGACUAUGCUUUUUUACUUUCAUUUUGUAUCAUUUUCAUCUCUGUGUUGUUUUUUUAUCUUUCUUUCUUUUUUUUUUUUGCAGAUGCUUCCUUACAAUUUGCACUAAGAAGUGACAUGGUAAGAUAACACUUAUUCUUACCAAUUUAAAAAAAUAUUAAACUAUUAACAUUUUUAAUAUUACAAAUUUUAACAACAAAAUCGUGUGGCCUUUAUGUAAAUACAAAGAGACUUGUAAAAAUAUUGAUAGUAUUUUAAAUUUUAAGUGAGUGAUGUUUUCAUUGAAGUUUAUUGUUAAACUUAGAUACAGAAUAUAUUUAUCCCACUUUGAUGUGUGGCAUUUCAUAUAAGGCUUGCAGAACAUUUUUUACCCCAUGUUCAUUACCUGAUAAAUUUCAUGUUGUCUUUUGAUAUUUUACAGACAAACUGUAUUUGGUACAUACUUGCACCACAUUCUUGUACUGGGGAAAUUGAGCCGGUCAACCAGUGGCCAAACUUAUCUUAAUAAAUGUACUCUCUGCAGUGAAAAGAUGUAAGAAUAUGAUAGUAAAUAUUUUCUUUUCCAAAGUAGUGAAGAAAUCAUUUCAAAAGAAUAGGAAAAUUCAUGGUACUGAUAACCUCAGCACAGCACACACAAAAUAACCGUCGUAAUUCUACAUAAAAGAGGUACUGCAUUCACCUGUACGUUUCCCUAAAGUUCCAAUUUCUACAAAGGACUAGUGCUUUACCGCUCUCCACAUAAUCAUGCUGAAUGUUCUGCAAAUCAAUUAACUGAACUUAGUUUUGUUAUAAUUUACUAAUGGCAGACUAGCGACCAAGGUGUGGUAAUUCAGAAGCCCUGAGGCUGCAUGGCAGAUCUUGGUGAUGCCCUGAUACUCGGCUCUGUGGAUCUCCAGCUCCGGGAAGCUGGGUCAUUGACACGGGACCCUACUGUUGGAGUCUGAAAUCAGUCAGAGUGCAGCAUUCAUUCUAGAAAGGGACUCUUGUGAUGGUCUCUGAAACCCCCCAGACAGCCUUUCACCGCUUCCUCAGACUGCAGGGCAGUCCAGGACACCUCUACCAAACUUCUGCAACCCUUCACGCCGAAGGGUUCAUGGUCUGGAGGUUCUGCCAGCCUUCCUGCCUCGUCCCCAUAUUCUCCCCAGGUGUUUCCUCUCUUCCAGUCUUUGCACACUGCCAUCUCCUUCUCAGGGACCACCCCCACAGCCCCCCAUCCUCCCCGUUCUCAGGUACGGGCAGCUUCAAGGUACGAGUCAGCACUGAGCUAGGAGGAGGGUCAGUUGUCCUCACAAGAGCAGAAGUGCAGGGCCAAGGAACAGGUGGGCCCAGCUGGGCACAGGAAGGAAGCAGUCUCACCACCGUUUCCCCACUGAAAAAUCCUUCUCACUGGGGAGCACUUGCGACACUUCUUAAGUAGUUUAACAUGCUAUUCUGAGAACCUGUUUCUCUCCUUUCUCUACAGGCUUCUUCAUGAAAAUUUUGAAUAUGAUCAUUUUGGUGUUUACGAAUUAUUAUCCAUAUAUCCUAAUGUAAGCUCAUUGUGCAGUGGAUUCCACAAUUAGAAUUAGUAGAGUUCUCUCAGUUGGGAACUUAAAUUAAUAGAUGAUUAGAUAAAUCCUCUUACGGAACAUGAAACGAAAUACAGGAUGCUGAAAAUUAUUGCCAACUUUAAGACUUUUUGAUUUCGGGAUUUUGAUCUUCCAUGUUCAAUUACUCAAUAAUAGUUUUAAAAACUAGUAUCUUAAGUAUAUGUUUCCCAUCAUAAAACCUAAUACAACUUAAAAUCCUAGAUAUUUCAUUCAAAAAGUUAAAUGAUUUUGUCCUUAUUAAAAUCUUUCUUUUUUACAAUUGAGGCAAUAUUUUCCAUUAGAAUAUAAAAGGACAUUCAUCUAGUCCUAUAGCCUUUUCUUCGCAGAAGCUUCUAACUCCUCAGCAAACACUGUAUACUCAUGCAUGUGCUCUUUUUAAUUUUUAUUCAACAUAUCACAAAAAGCCUGCUGUGUGUGAGGCACUGUAUCAGACAAUAAGGAAAAGACAGUCCGUAAAAUUAAGCAUCAGUCUUCGCUAGGAUCUUUCACUGUAUUGGCUAAAGUUACUGUCUCUUAGCAAAUGGGACCUCUUUUUCUUUGAGCAUUUCUAUCUACAAAAGCUGUGUCAGGGAGUUUUCCAGGUAUUAUCUAACUCCGUUCUUACAAAGAUUUCACUAGACACUGGCUCCAUACUUUAGCCAUAUGAAACUGAGAUAGGGAGGCCCACAAUAUUGAAACCCUGCCAUGUUGAUACUGAAAGGGCAAUUUUAGUAGAGAACUUACUAUUACUUUAAAAGCUUAUUUAUUGAAAUAUUUACUUACCAAAAUCUUAAACAUUUUCAGGUAUAUUACUAUGAUUUUUGUAAAUAUACAGGGACUACCACCAUCACAGCAAUUCAAUUUAAGAUUAUUUAAGAUUAUUACCCCCAAAAGAUUUUUCUGAUCUGACUGCAGUUAAUCCCUCUUCCCACUCCCUUCCCCAGGCAGCCACUAAUCCACAUUCUUUCCACAUUGUUUUGCCUUCUCAGGAUAUUUCAUAUGUAGAAUGAAGGCGAUGUAGGCAUUUAUAAUUUGCUUCUUUCACUGGGCAUAAUAAUUGGAAGUUUAUACACUUUAAACCAACUUUAUACCACCUGUGAGUAGUUGAUUAUUUUAAAAUGAUGAAUGAUGUUCCAUUGUGCAUUGAUAAACCACAUUAUGUUUAUUUACUAGUUCGGGCAUUUGAAUUAUUUCCACUUUUCAGCUAUUAAGACUAAUUCUUCAUGAACAUUUAGUGUGUAAGUACUUGUGUGGACCAAUGUUUUUUGUUUCUUCUUCUCUUGGGUAAACAACAGGUAUUGAAUGCACGGUUCACGUGGUAGAUGUGUGUUGAACUUUGUAAGCACCUGCUAACCAAAGCGGCUUCUUACAUUUCCGCCAACAAUGCAUGAAGUUACAAUUCUCCACAUCCUCAUGAACACAUUUUAUUCUUUUU
rnacentral:lncRNA from 1 species